rnacentral:rRNA from 1 species
UACGAAGGGUGCGAGCGUUAAUCGGAAUAACUGGGCGUAAAGGGCACGCAGGCGGUGACUUAAGUGAGGUGUGAAAGCCCCGGGCUUAACCUGGGAAUUGCAUUUCAUACUGGGUCGCUAGAGUACUUUAGGGAGGGGUAGAAUUCCACGUGUAGCGGUGAAAUGCGUAGAGAUGUGGAGGAAUACCGAAGGCGAAGGCAGCCCCUUGGGAAUGUACUGACGCUCAUGUGCGAAAGCGUGGGGAGCAAACAGG